CAUAAAACAGUGUAGUAGUAAGGAUACUUUGUUUUGUUUUGGCUGUUGGGGCUGAUUCUAUUUAGUAGAAUGGGGCAUUUGCAAGGGUUGAUGGGUUAGGGAAGAGAAGGUCAGGAUAGGAAGAGAUUAGUUCCUUCUAUUUGCUAACAGGAAACAGAAAGAGGUUAGGAGAGAGGGAGGACGGCAUGAGAGAGGGUUGGAUAGGAGGGAGGAGUAAACCUUACCCUAUGAGAGGAGAUUAGGAGAGAUGGUGGAGGGUAGGAGUGAGGGAGCAGUAGGUUUGCCUCUUUCCUACUGUCCUUUCACCCUACUUUGGCUCUUUUGGGUCAAAUGCUUCGUUGGAUAAAGUGCAGUCUCUUCUGUCUUCCCGGAAAUCCUUGCGUCUUAAGGAAGCACAAAACCUUAGCCUCAGAGUAGGACGAACCUAUGAACAUGUAAGUUGGUCUCUUAUGUUUCAUGUGCACCAUUAAAUAUUCACUAAAUUAAAGGAUUACCGUAAGAGUAUUAAUUUUAAGCAAUGAGACACGACAUGCCAUUCUUUACGGCACAGUUACCACAAACACGGUAAGGAAUGGCAUCUAGAUUCUUUGACACAACCCUCAUUGUGAUCAACAAUGCUCAAACACCACUUUUUUUUUAAUCAUAUUUAAAUAGUUGAUGAUCAUUGAAUGUACAACUCCAUUUAUACAUAACUUGACUUUUUGUUUUGUUUUCCAGGCUUUUAGGGAGUCAAAGAUCUUGAGGUCAUUGUAACCUUGAACUCCAUCGCAUUCUCAUGAACGCUAUAUCUACAGUGCCUUCAGAGAAUUUUUUCAAAUUAACACGCACUUGGCCUCAAUGAUGAGCUGCUUAGAAUUUGGUGGUCAAAGGUGAGGGUGACACAGCUCAUUGUUCUCUGUUCUCUCCAUCUUUCAGGACAUCGAAUGCAGUGAGGCCGAGGCAGAUGUCGCAGGGACAACCAUGGCAAUCUACACCGUUCAAGCUGAGGGUGAUGAUCAUGAUGGUCCUGGUGGACUCUUUGCAGAUGUCGGUAUGGUCCUGGAAGGGGUCCAAGUUCUCAACAACCUCCAAAGUAUCAACCAUGCAUGCAUAAUGCUUUAUGGGUUGGUCUAUGCUCUUAAUUUGAGCUAUCCAAAAAACUUGAAGUAUACAUUCGAAGCUUACCAGAAGAUCCUGAUGGACCUGGAAUCGUCCAAGCCUUCAGCCAAAGUACGAGCACUGAAACUCAAAUUGUUCAGGUGACUCUUUUUUUGGGGUGGGGUGGUGAUGGGAGGAGGAAGUACAGGAAGAGACCUAUGUUCUACUACUAUAUGUUUAAUGUUGUUGAGCCUGAAGAGUUUGUUCUGUCCUUUCAUAUCCCAUUACAGCGAUCGUUCCAGCAGAUACAGAUGUAAGGAAUGUUGUUGAGCCUGUAGUUUGUUUGUUUGUUCUAGAUCUAGAAAAAAGAGCAGGUCCUUUACUGCCAUUGUUGGAGCAGAUACUAACUUGCCUCUGUUCUAUUGCAAUUACAAAACAUGUUUCAUGUUCCAUCUAUAGCAGUAGAUUACUUGGUUGAAGAGCUACACUACCUGCUGAGUACAGUGUCUGUGUGAAGAGAAGCGUUAAUAAAUUAGUUGAAUCAACAA